rnacentral:rRNA from 1 species
GUGGGGAAUAUUGGGCAAUGGGCGAAAGCCUGACCCAGCAACGCCGCGUGAAGGAAGAAGGCUUUCGGGUUGUAAACUUCUUUUGUCAGGGACGAAAAAAAUGACGGUACCUGACGAAUAAGCCACGGCUAACUACGUGCCAGCAGCCGCGGUAAUACGUAGGUGGCAAGCGUUAUCCGGAUUUACUGGGUGUAAAGGGCGUGUAGGCGGGAAAGCAAGUCAGAUGUGAAAACUAUGGGCUCAACCCAUAGCCUGCAUUUGAAACUGUAGUUCUUGAGUGAUGGAGAGGCAGACGGAAUUCCUCGUGUAGCGGUGAAAUGCGUAGAUAUGAGGAGGAACACCAGUGGCGAAGGCGGUCUGCUGGACAUUAACUGACGCUGAGGCGCGAAAGCGUGGGGAGCAAACAGGAUUAGAUACCCGGGUAGUCC